CGCUGUAAAACUUUUUUUUAAAUAAAUAGGUUCAACUUAGGUUUCUUAUCACAGCGAUUUCGAUAUGUCGCUGAUAUUGAUAAACUACCAUCAGUUGUUCUAAUUUUUUCUAAUAUUCCCAUGUUUGCCCGCCAAGAUAACACGCACAGAUCCAAUAUAACUAACUUUAUCAGAGUUCAACGAAAGCGUCCAUAAAAAAUGAACAAUGGAAUCAACUUUUAUGAGAAGAUUUAAAGUUCAAACCACAAAUCGGCUUAUCAGAAGCGUUCCACAGACCACACCUAUUUGAGAAGAUUUAGAAAAAUUUCUAAGGGCGCCAAAAGUGAUGUCACUAAGAUUAGCGAAAAAUCUGUUGUUAUUUUAAUUACUCACAUCUGAUAACCCGCAGAGUGUGUCGAGUGUAAAGACGAACAUGUUUUGGGAUAUUUGCUGCUGUCGGCGAGACAAAAAUGUUAAAACAGAAGAAAAUGCCAACUCAAAUUCGGUGAACGAAUCUCAAAAUACUCAAAUUAGCGUUAUAAAUGUGAACGGCACAGGGGAAAAUGGUUCAAAUAGUCCCUAUCGAGAGCGGACAGGGACGGAAUCCAGUGUUUCUAGUAUGCAUAGCAUCAAAUCGUAUUAUAGUGUCAAGUCAACGAUGUCGCGAGACGGAGAUUUCUACAGUAUCUGUAGCGAAGAAUCUUUUAAAAGUACUUAGUGGUUCUAUGACAUUUAAGUUUUCACCUGGACCUUAAAAUACGUUUGUUGUAUUUUUAUUAUAAUAAAUUAUUUAUAACGA